rnacentral:pre_miRNA from 1 species
AACUUCAGCUGAAAAAGUCAUUAACAACAAAGUUGUAUAACUCAUCAAGAUCUAUAACUUCUAUUUUGGUCAUUUUUUCAUCCGACAAAGUGAUAGUAAUAUUUUUCACAAAAUUUACUUCUCUCUCUUAUAGUUUAUAGAACUGUACAAGAGAUUUGUACAUUUUGUGAAUAAUGUUAAAAAUUACUUCGUCGGACGAAGAAAUAACCAAAAUAUAAGUUAUAGACCUUAAUGAGUUUUACGACUUUGUUAUUGAUGACUUUUUCAGUUGAAAUC